AACGAACGCUGGCGGCAUGCCUAACACAUGGAAGUCGAACGAGACCUUUGGGUCUAGUGGCGCACGGGUGCGUAACGCGUGGGAAUCUGCCCUUGGGUUCGGAAUAACAGUGAGAAAUUGCUGCUAAUACCGGAUGAUGUCUUCGGACCAAAGAUUUAUCGCCCAGGGAUGAGCCCGCGUAGGAUUAGCUAGUUGGUGGGGUAAUGGCCUACCAAGGCGACGAUCCUUAGCUGGUCUGAGAGGAUGAUCAGCCACACUGGGACUGAGACACGGCCCAGACUCCUACGGGAGGCAGCAGUGGGGAAUAUUGGACAAUGGGCGCAAGACUGAGCCAGCAAUGCCGCGUGAGUGAUGAAGGCCUUAGGGUGGUAAAGCUCUUUUACCAGGGAUGAUAAUGACAGUACCUGGAGAAUAAGCUCCGGCUAACUCCGUG
rnacentral:rRNA from 1 species